GGAGCUUUGCUGAAACUGCACAAAAAAUCGAGCUGGGGGGUUCCCUGGUCCCCGAUGUUGGGGCGGAGAGCGCGGCGCCGAGGGAGGGGGCGGCGCAGACCGGCCUAGGGGACACCUGGUCGAGCGCAGCCGCCGCUCCGCUCGAGCCCUGCGCUCCAGUGCCCCCACUGGCUGGAGAGCUCGCCCAGACCGGGGGUCUUCCUCCGUCGCUGACAGUUGUUACCUGUUAAGUCAUUAAGAUCCAGAAAGGGUGAAACAAAUGAAAAAAAUAAAUAACGUUGCAUUUUCACCUCGAUUUGGGAGCAGUAAAAGAUUUUAACCAUUAGAAGAAUACCAGUUCUGGAAAACAACC
ensembl:processed_transcript Dleu2 deleted in lymphocytic leukemia, 2